CAAACUCUGUGUCAAGGCUCCCUACAAAGAGCCUUGUGCAUUUGGACAUUUGCAGGUUUAAGAAAAAGAGACCACUUUAGCCAAAUAUCUUCUGGACAAAAGAGUGGUCAGACAAGACAAAGUUUGAGCCAGUCACCUGAACAUUAGACUUUUGAUCUGAGUGUCCGGGAUUCAAGUCCCUGUUCAGGUGACCAGUGAUAGGGUCUGAGGUCCACUUGCAAACGCCUCCUUUUUGCCCACAAAAUACAAGGGCAACAGGACAAUCCCUUCAACAAUCUUGUAGCAGCAUACAGCAUGCUGAAUGUAGCAGCAUAGGAGUAUAUCCAUAUCUCCCUAUGCAGCGUGUACCGUUAAACAGACCUCACUGCUGGCCAAUCAUUGUGUAGGUGGAGAGUAUUUAAGCAGCGCUCCUCUCACUGCUUCUUCCGUUGCACUUCCGUCUGUGUACUUCCGGGUCAAGUGUUCGACUGAGACAGAGUGAUCGGUGUGCUGCUAGGGCAUACGUGUCUUUCGGCGUCCUAUUGUGGUGAGACGCCCGUAGCCGCCUGGGUUUACUCCCUCCCUCGCUCCUCUCAUGUGCCUGUGUGUCUGCUUAGAAGGUGUAAUCUGCCUGAAUGCCAGCUAACACUGCCGCCGCAUGUGAUGUCAUCGCCAGCCGUCUGAGAACGCCGCUGCUUCGUCUGCGCUGUCGCUGCUUGCCUUGACUGACUGCUCUCCCGCUGCUGUGCUACGGCUUGCUACUGGCCUGUUCUGCUACUGCUCGGUCUUGUGGCUUCACCUAGCUGGGAGCUUAGCGCUGGUAGCCUCUGUCUGCGCUCUGGACUGCUCUGCCUGCUGUGAUCAGCCCGCAGGCGGGACUGUGACUGACUUGCCAGGCCGCUCGGCCUCUCCUGACAGACAGACACUACGUGCAAUUCUUCUUAUUAUUUUAGAGUUCCGCUUCUAUUGUGUGUGUUUUAGUGGUGGGGUUGUAGAUCCCUUUUUGUUUAGUUACAAUUGCAUAGGUUUUUCUUUUGCUUUUGUUUACAUUAUUUCUAUAGGUUUACCUUUUUGUUUUAGGAUUAUUUUGACUUAGUUAUAUUUUCUAGCCUAGUUGCUUUAUUUGAUUUUGGGAAUUGGGUGGGUUUUCCUUGAGUAGUUCCUCCUUUUGUUUAUCAUCUGUUGUUUUGCUUGUUUAAUUUGUGUGUUUAGUGGAUCAACCUUCAAUUUAGUUAGUAUGAUUUUGUUAUUUUUGUUUAAUUGCUUUAUUAUUUUGUUUUUGACCCCACUAAUUGUUUUAUUCCCUUUUCAGUUGCUGAGGAUCGGUGGUGGUGCUGGUGGUCUGGGUGGCGGUAUCCCCUCCUUCUGUGUGCGGUGCUCCUCUGGGAUUUGGUUUUCUUUGCACAUCCCUGUGUGUGCCACGUGUGACUGGGUGCUUUUUGGGUUGUUUUGGGUAGAUCCCUCCCCCCUUCACUAGCCCAUUGUCCACCUGGUAAGCCUCAGCACCUGAUUAGGUUUCCCUCUUCCCCUUCUUGUGUGUGUGGUAUUU